rnacentral:rRNA from 1 species
AACCGUUCGGGGGUAAACGGACAGAGCCCGUGAAUCCGGGCGCGCGGAAUUCAGGACCGACGGCGGUGUCCGUCGAUUCGAUAUUUCCGCCGCCGACCCUCAACCGAGGCGGACGUCGCGACCCGUUCGCCAUCGAAACUCAGGAACGCGCUUCAAGUUCGUAUGCGCGGCCGUCUCGGCGGGCGGCGAUGACGCGUUUCCGCUGUUUCGGCGCGGACGGUAGCUUUGGCGCGGGUAAUCGAAGCGGUCUCGCCCGUCGUCUCGUACGGCGGGCGGCGCUCGCUUCGACGCCGGUCAGCGACGAAUCUUCGGGCCUCUUUCCGACCCGUCUUGAAACACGGACCAAGGAGUCUAGCGUGCGCGCGAGUCGCGGGGUAUCCGAGAGGUCACGCCUCUCGUCACGAUACGAAACCCGUGUACGUACGUUGUGCGAAGGCGUAAUGAAAGUGAAAGGCGACGCUUCGCGCGUCGCCGGGGAAGACGGUGUUCCGUGUACACGUUUCGCGAUCACGCUGUGUCGCGACCGGACACCCGCAUUCCCAGGGCGUCCCGACAGUACGGCGGCGCGUGGGGCGUUCCGCGCGCGUCGACGAACUGGGGCGCACCUACAGCGUGCACGCUGGUACCCGAAAGAUGGUGAACUAUGCCCGGCCAGGAUGAAGUCAGGGGAAACCCUGAUGGAGGUCCGCAGCGAUUCUGACGUGCAAAUCGAUCGUCUGAGCUGGGUAUAGGGGCGAAAGACUAAUCGAACCAUCUA